GGAAGGCUGACUUUCUCCAAGCUGAAACUUCUGCAGAGACUUAAUGGAUUUUUGCUGAACCUGGACAAUGUGAACAGGAAAGAUUCAUCUGUGCUCACAGGUGCUGCGUCUACCAACUCCAUGUGAUUCUGGUGAAGUGGUGAAAUGUGUGGCUCCCUUAGUUAGUAAAAACCACGUAGCUCUUACUUCUUCCAGGGAUUGUUCUAAAUUCUUUUAAAAUAUUAAUUUAUUUAACACAACAAGCUUAUGUGGUGAUUUCCAUUGUUUACCUCAUUUAACAGGUGAGAAAAUAGAAGCAUGGGUAAAUGUAGUGUCUUAAUGAAAUUUAUACAGCUAGUAAGUGACAGAGCUGGAAUUUACAUACAGAUUGUUACACUCAAGGGUCUCUGGUUUUAAAUCCUACAGUGUGAUGAACAUGUGACUGAGACUGGCCCAUUGGAUGACUCCACUUUCUCGAAUCAGUGAGUGGUUCAGGGUUGUCAUGUGGAUUCUUACACGGUGAACCCAGUUUAUGGCAAUUAUUGAUCUGAAUCCUGGGAGAGAGAAUUUUACUUUCCUUUUUUGUAAGAUUGCUUGUUAUGAAGAUGAUGUUUUUUAAAGUGGUUCACCUUGGAGUGUUAGUUGCUAGUUUGCUUCAUGAUAACUGCUAAAAAACUUGACGAAGCCAUGUUUGAGCCAGUCUGCCUGGAACUUUCCAAUACACGAGGCACUAAAUUACCUUUUAUACCUAAGCUGAUCUGAUGUGUUAUUGGAAGAGACCUGACAAACAGAUAUCAUAAAGCCACUGGUAUUGUCUGCAGCAAUGUUAAAUAGACUCAAUAUACAUCUAUACACCCAUAUAUGCCCUCAUAUAUGCACUAAAUACACCUUGACUUUAGGAGUUGGAGACUAAAUUGAUUUAAACUAAGAAGAAGUCAAAUAAAAUGCCUUAGAUAAUCUAUAAAUUACAAAUAAAAUAAAUAUAAAAUAUCUAAUAAGCUAACAGUUCGAGCAUUCUGCAAUUAAGGAAACUGCCUAGUUCACUUUGUUCUUUUGUUCUGUUUUGAAUUUCAUUAAUUUGCGUCUCCAUCUUUAUUAUUGUGUUUUUUCUCCUAGAUAUGUGUUUAGCUUGUUCUUAUUUUUCUGGUUUCUUUUGGGAAAAAGUUACAUUAUGGAUUUGAACAUUGUUUCUUUUCUAAUGUGUACAUUUAAUGAUAUAAAAUUCUAUCAAGGUGUUAUCCCUUUCCUACGAAUUUUGAUAUGUUGUCUUUUAAUUUUAAUUUAAGUAAAAUAUUUUUAGAUGUGUCAUUAGACUUCUUUUAUAAUCCAUGGGUUAUUUAGAAGUGUGUUGUUUACUUUUCAAAGACUUGGUGAUUUUCCAAAAAUUGUGUUACCGAUUUUAAUUUGCUUAUUUAAUAAUAAGAAAUUAUACCUUAUAUCAUCUAAAUUAUUUUAGUUUUUUAAGGUUUGUUUUAUAUCCUAGAAUAUAGUCUACAUUGAUAAAUGUCCUAUGUGUGCCUAGAAAUAAUGUAUAUUCUGCUGAUAGGGGAUAUGUUCUAUAAAUCUCAUAUAGAUCAGGUUGGGUUAUGUUUUUCUGGAUUUCUUUAUACUUGCUGAUUUCCUGUCUAAUAUAGUAAUUACUUGUCACUUUUUUAGUGAGGUGUUGAAGCUUCUAAGUUCAUUUAUGAAUUUCUCCAUUUUUGUUUCCUGUGCACACAAUUUUUGCUUUAUAUAUUUUACAGCUAUAUUGUGAGUGAAUACAUCUCAGGAUUGUGAUGUUUUCUUGAGGAAUUUAUCCUUUUAUCAAGACCAGUCAGUGGAGAAAAUAAUUUUAUUUUUCAAAAUAUGGUGUCACAUAAAUAAAUAUCCAAAUACAGAAGAAUGAAAUUGGACCUUACAUUACAACCCAUGCAAAAAUUAACUCAAAAUGGAUGAAAGUCCUAAAUGUUAAGACAUAAAUUUUCUUUUUUUUUUUUUUUUUGAGAUGAAGUUCUGCUCUUGUUGCCCAGGCUGUAGUGCAAUGGCACAAUCUUGGCUCACCUCAACCUCUGCCUCCCGGGUUCAAGCGAUUCUCCUGUCUCAGCCUCCUGAGUAGCUGUGAUUACAGGAAUGCACCACCACACCCAGCUAAUUUUGUAUUUCUAGUAGAGACAGGGUAUCUCCAUAUUGGUCAGGCUGGUCUCGAACUCACGACCUCAGGUGAUCUGUCCGCUUCUGCUUCCCAAAGUGCUGGGAAUACAGGCGUGAUCCACCACACCCGGCCAAGACAUAAAAUUUCUACAAGGCAAUAUGGUCAUAAAUCUUCUUGGUGUUGGAUUAGUUGAUAGUUUCUUAGUUAUGCUAUCAAAAGUACAAGCAAAAAAGAAAAAAAAAGAUAAAUUAGACCUCAAAAAAUUUUUAAAUAGUGCAUCAAAGGACACUAUCCAGAAACUAAAAAGAAAACUCAUAGAAUUGGAGAAAUAUUUGCAAAUGAUUUGGCUCGUAAGAUUCUAGUAUUCAGAAUAUAUAAAGGAUUCUGACAACUGAAGAAAACAAAGAAAAUGACCCAUUUACAAAAUAGGCAAAUCCUUUGAAUAGACAUUUCUCUAAGGAAGCUAUUCGAAUAGUCAAUGAGCACAUGGAAAGAUGAUCAACAACAUUAGUCAUUAGGGAAAUGCAAAUCAAAACCACAAUAAGAUACCAUUUCCCAUUCAUUAAGAUGGUUAUAAUUAAAAAGAUGGAAAUUAACAAGUGUUGGUGAGAAUGUGGAAAAACUGACGAUGGAAAUACAAAAUGCUACAGCCACUUCAGAAAAAAACGGAAGAUUCUCAACAAGUUAAACAUGGAGUUACCAUGUGACUCAGAAAUCUUUAGGUAUUUACCAAGAUGAUUGAAAAUAUAUGUUUAAAAAAUACUGUUACACAAAUGUCCAUGGGCAUUACUCAUAUUGUCCAAAUAUUGGAAACAAUCCAAAUAUGCAUCAACUUACAGAGAACAAAAUGGUUAUAUGUCCAUAUAAUAGAACCUGAUUCAACCAUAAAAAUUAAUAACAUUGAUGAAACUUGAAAACCUUAUGUUAAGCAAAAGAUGCUGGUAACAAAAGUGAUUCAAUUUAUAUGAAAUUUUCAGAAUAUGCAAAUUCAUAGGUAUAGAAAGCAGAUUAGUGGGUACCAGCAGUGGUGAGGAGGAGGGAGAGAGGCUGUUAAUGGGUACAGGGUUUCUUUUGAAGGUGAUGAAAUGUUCUGGAAUUAAAUAGCGGUGAUGGUUAUAUAAACCUACGACUAUAAUUUAAAAAGUGUAUUGUGUGCUUUAAAUAGUGAAUUUCACGAUAUGUGGAUUUUAUCUCAAAUUUAAAAAGAAAAAAAAUAAACCACCCUUUAUUGGC